rnacentral:rRNA from 1 species
UACGGAGGGUGCAGGCGUUAUCCGGAUUCACUGGGUUUAAAGGGUGCGUAGGUGGGUUGGUAAGUCAGUGGUGAAAUCUCCAGGCUUAACUUGGAAACUGCCAUUGAUACUAUCAAUCUUGAAUACCGUGGAGGUCAGCGGAAUAUGUCAUGUAGCGGUGAAAUGCUUAGAUAUGACAUAGAACACCAAUUGCGAAGGCAGCUGGCUACACGAAUAUUGACACUGAUGCACGAAAGCGUGGGGAUCAAACAGGG